UCCCNGUGCUAACAGAUGUCUGAUAUUUGG
rnacentral:piRNA from 1 species